rnacentral:rRNA from 1 species
UACGUAGGCAGCAAGCGUUGUUCGGAAUUACUGGGCGUAAAGAGUGUGUAGGCGGUGCUCCAAGUCUGGUGUGAAAUCUCCCGGCUCAACUGGGAGGGUGCGCUAGAAACUGGAAUGCUAGAGGAUGGGAGAGGUAAGCGGAAUUCCUGGUGUAGCGGUGAAAUGCGUAGAUAUCAGGAGGAACACCUGUGGUGUAGACAGCUUACUGGACCAUUUUCUGACGCUGAGACACGAAAGCGUGGGUAGCAAACAGG